rnacentral:rRNA from 1 species
UACGUAGGGGGCAAGCGUUGUCCGGAUUUAUUGGGCGUAAAGAGCGUGUAGGCGGCCAGGUAGGUGGGUUGUGAAAACUGGAGGCUCAACCUUCAGAGGUCGACCCAAACCCCCUGGCUAGAGUCCGGAAGAGGAGAGUGGAAUUCCUGGAUGUAGCGGUGAAAUGACGCAGAUAUCUGGAGGAACACCGGUGGCGAAGGCGGCAUCCUGGACCAAUUCGUGACGCUGAGGAGCGAAAAGCCAGGGGAGCAA